AUACGGAGGAUCCGAGCGUUAUCCGGAUUUAUUGGGUUUAAAGGGUGUGCAGGCGGCCAUUUAAGUCAGCGGUUAAAUCGUGGGGCUCAACCCCAUUCUGCCGUUGAUACUGGGUGGCUUGAUUGCGGUCGAGGUUGGCGGAAUUCGUUGUGUAGCGGUGAAAUGCAUAGAUAUGACGAAGAACACCGAUUGCGUAGGCAGCUGACCAGACCGCAAAUGACGCUCAUGCACGAAAGUGCGGGGAUCGAACAGGAUUAGAUACCCUGGUAGUCCGCACAGUAAACGAUGAAUACUUGUUUUCGGCGAUAUAAUGUCGGAGGCAAAGCGAAAGCGAUAAGUAUUCCACCUGGGGAGUACGCCGGCAACGGUGAAACUCAAAUGAAUUGGCGGGG
rnacentral:rRNA from 1 species